ACUUUAUUCACAAAAGAUAUGUUAUCAUUUAUUAGUUAAGACUUAACCUACCUUAAAGUGAAUUUCGUUGGGGCGACGAAAGUAAAAAACUAACUGCUUAAAACUAAAACAAUAAUAUUUGAAACCGGUUGAUCCUUAUUAUAGAUUCUAAGAAAAAGUU
rnacentral:rRNA from 1 species